rnacentral:rRNA from 1 species
UACGUAGGGGGCAAGCGUUAUUCGGAAUUACUGGGCGUAAAGCGUGCGUAGGUGGUUCGUUAAGUCUGAUGUGAAAGCCCUGGGCUCAACCUGGGAAUGGCAUUGGAAACUGGCGGCCUAGAGUGCGGUAGAGGGCAGUGGAAUUCCCGGUGUAGCAGUGAAAUGCGUAGAGAUCGGGAGGAACAUCUGUGGCGAAGGCGACUGCCUGGACCAGCACUGACACUGAGGCACGAAAGCGUGGGGAGCAAACAGG